rnacentral:rRNA from 1 species
UACGUAGGGUGCGAGCGUCAAUCGGAAUUACUGGGCGUAAAGUGUGCGCAGGCGGCUCUGCAAGUCGAGUGUGAAAUCCCCGGGCUUAACUUGGGAAUGGCGCUCGAAACUACGGAGCUCGAGUGUGGCAGAGGGGGGUGGAAUUCCACGUGUAGCGGUGAAAUGCGUAGAGAUGUGGAGGAACACCAAUGGCGAAGGCAGCCCCCUGGGCCAACACUGACGCUCUUGCACGAAAGCGUGGGGAGCAAACAGG